UACGAAGGGGGCUAGCGUUGCUCGGAAUCACUGGGCGUAAAGCGCACGUAGGCGGCUUUCUAAGUCAGGGGUGAAAUCCUGGAGCUCAACUCCAGAACUGCCUUCGAAACUGAUAGUCUUGAGUUCGGGAGAGGUGAGUGGAACUGCGAGUGUAGAGGUGAAAUUCGUAGAUAUUCGCAAGAACACCAGUGGCGAAGGCGGCUCACUGGCCCGAUACUGACGCUGAGGUGCGAAAGCGUGGGGAGCAAACAGG
rnacentral:rRNA from 1 species